UACGUAGGGGGCAAGCGUUGUCCGGAUUCAUUGGGCGUAAAGAGCUCGUAGGCGGUUCAGUAAGUCGGGGGUGAAAGCUCCGAGCUCAACUCGGAUAGGCCACCCGAUACUGCUGUGACUUGAGUCCAGUAGAGGAGCGUGGAAUUCCCGGUGUAGCAGUGAAAUGCGUAGAGAUCGGGAGGAACACCAGUGGCGAAGGCGGCUACCUGGACCAGCACUGACACUGAGGCACGAAAGCGUGGGGAGCAAACAGG
rnacentral:rRNA from 1 species